rnacentral:rRNA from 1 species
UACGGGGGGGGCAAGCGUUGUUCGGAAUUACUGGGCGUAAAGGGCUCGUAGGCGGCCAACUAAGUCAGACGUGAAAUCCCCAGGCUUAACCUGGGAACUGCAUCCGAUACUGGAUGGCUUGAAUCCGGGAGAGGGAUGCGGAAUUCCAGGUGUAGCGGUGAAAUGCGUAGAUAUCUGGAGGAACACCGGUGGCGAAGGCGGCAUCCUGGACCAAUAUUGACGCUGAGGAGCGAAAGCCAGGGGAGCAAACGGG